rnacentral:sRNA from 1 species
GCUGGGCAUGGUGGUGCACACCUGUAAUCCCAGCAACUUGGGAGGCUGAGGCAAGAGGAUCACAAGUUCAAGGCCAGCCUCAGCAAUUUAGGGCCUUACUACAAGGCCCUAAGCAACUUAAUGAGACCCUGUCUCAA